rfam:Theobroma cacao cultivar Matina 1-6 chromosome 9, whole genome shotgun sequence.
AAAAGAAUAGCCUGUCAAGAAAGCCAAGAAGACUGCCCGCGAGCCAGAAUGGCGGGUUUUAAAAGUUUCAUUGAAAUUUUGAAACCUCAAGGAGGAAGCAGGCAAGUCAUUCUUGGCUUUCCAGCGAGGCUCUCUUCU